rnacentral:rRNA from 1 species
CUGGUCGACCCAAAUCCUUUGGGAUAAGGUAUCAUGGAGGGUGAGAAUCCCGUCCGGUUGACCUCAGGAUGUUUUACGUUACGCUCUCUAAGAGUCGAGUUGUUUGGGAUUGCAGCUCAAAAUGGGAGGUAAAUUUCUCCUAAGGCUAAAUACAGGCGAGAGGCCGAUAGCGAACAAGUACCGUGAGGGAAAGAUGAAAAGAACUUUGAAAAGAGAGUCAAACAGUACGUGAAAUUGUUGAAAGGGAAACGAUUGAAGCCAGUCGUACCGUCGGGAAUUCAACUUUUUAAGUGCUUGUCGUGGGUGAUGUAGAGCCUCACGGCCUUCGUUGCUUUGCGUUAUGGUGCUUUUAGGGUGUACUUUUCCGUUGCUAUUAUGGUAGGUCAAUAUCGAUUUUGAUCGUCAUAAAAUGAUCGGAGGAAUGUGGCUUCGAUCUCGUAUCGGAGUGUUAUAGCCUUUGGUAGCGAAUAUGUGACGACUGGGAUCGAGGAUUGCAACGAAUACCCUUUGGGCUAUCCGUCU